AUUGAACGCUGGCGGCAUGCUUUACACAUGCAAGUCGAACGAGUGGCGAACGGGUGAGUAAUAUAUCGGAACGUACCGAGUAAUGGGGGAUAACCAAUCGAAAGAUUGGCUCAUAACGCAUAUUAUUCGAGCGGCCGAUAACUGAUUAGCUAGUUGGGGGGGUAAAGGCCUACCAAGGCGACGAUCAGUAGGGGGGCUUAGAGGACGAUCCGCCACACUGGGACUGAGAAACGGCCCAGCCUCCUACGGGAGGCAGCAGAGGGGAAUUUUGGACAAUGGGGGCAACCCUGAUGCAGCCAUGCCGCGUGGAUGAAGAAGGCCUUCGGGUUGGAAAGUACUUUUGUUAGGGAAGCGGUACCUAAAGAAUAAGCACCGGCUAACUACGUGCCAGCAGCCGCGGUAAUAC
rnacentral:rRNA from 1 species